rnacentral:tRNA from 1 species
GGGCAAGUGGCGGAAUUGGCAGACGCGUACGGUUCAGGACCGUAUGGACGAAAGUCCUUGGAGGUUCGAGUCCUCUCUUGCCCA